rnacentral:rRNA from 1 species
AGAGUUUGAUCAUGGCUCAGAACGUACGCUGGCGGCACGCCUAACACAUGCAAGUCGAACGAAGUAGCAAUACUUAGUGGCAGACGGGUGAGUAACAUGUGGGUAUCUGCCCUUUGGCCUGGAAUAACACGAGGAAACUUGUGCUAAUACCGGAUAAGUCUUUACGGAGAAAGCUUUAUGCACCAUUGGAUGAGCCCGCACUUGAUUAGUUUGUUGGUGGGGUAAUGGCCUACCAAGACUGUGAUCAAUAGCUGAUUUGAGAGGAUGAUCAGCCACAUUGGGACUGAGACACGGCCCAAACUCCUACGGGAGGCAGCAGUGGGGAAUCUUGCACAAUGGAGGAAACUCUGAUGCAGCGAUGCCGCGUGAGUGAAGAAGGCCUUUGGGUUGUAAAGCUCUUUCGUCGGGGAAGAAAAUGACUGUACCCGAAUAAGAAGGUCCGGCUAACUUCGUGCCAGCAGCCGCGGUAAUACGAAGGGACCUAGCGUAGUUCGGAAUUACUGGGCUUAAAGAGUUCGUAGGUGGUUGAACAAGUUGGUGGUGAAAUCCCAGAGCUUAACUCUGGAACUGCCAUCAAAACUUUUCAGCUAGAGUAUGAUAGAGGAAAGCAGAAUUUCUAGUGUAGAGGUGAAAUUCGUAGAUAUUAGAAAGAAUACCAAUUGCGAAGGCAGCUUUCUGGAUCAUUACUGACACUGAGGAACGAAAGCAUGGGUAGCGAAGAGGAUUAGAUACCCUCGUAGUCCAUGCCGUAAACGAUGUGUGUUAGACGUUGGAAAUUUAUUUUCAGUGUCGCAGGGAAACCGAUAAACACACCGCCUGGGGAGUACGACCGCAAGGUUAAAACUCAAAUGAAUUGACGGGGACCCGCACAAGUAGUGGAGCAUGUGGUUUAAUUCGAAGAUACGCGCAGAACCUUACCAACACUUGACAUGUUCGUCGCGACUCUAAGAGAUUAGAGUUUUCGGUUCGGCCGGACGAAACACAGGUGCUGCAUGGCUGUCGUCAGCUCGUGUCGUGAGAUGUUGGGUUAAGUCCCGCAACGAGCGCAACCCUCACUUUUAGUUGCCAUCAUUAAGUUGGGCACUCUGAAAGAACUGCCAGUGAUAAGCUGGAGGAAGGUGGGGAUGACGUCAAGUCCUCAUGGCCCUUACGUGUUGGGCUACACACGUGCUACAAUGGCAUCUACAACAGGAAGCAAAACGGCAACGUUAAGCAAAUCCCGAAAAGAUGCCUCAGUUCGGAUUGCACUCUGCAACUCGAGUGCAUGAAGCUGGAAUUACUAGUAAUCGUGGAUCAGCGUGCCACGGUGAAUGCGUUCCCGGGUCUUGUACACACCGCCCGUCACACCAUGGGAGUUGGUUCUACCUUAAGGCAAGGUUUUAAACCCUUGACCACGGUAUAGUCAGCGACUGGGGUGAAGUCGUAACAAGGUAGCCGUA